rnacentral:rRNA from 1 species
UACGUAGGGUGCAAGCGUUGUCCGGAAUUAUUGGGCGUAAAGAGCUCGUAGGCGGUCUGUCGCGUCGGCUGUGAAAACUUGGGGCUCAACCCCAAGCCUGCAGUCGAUACGGGCAGACUAGAGUCCGGCAGGGGAGACUGGAAUUCCUAGUGUAGCGGUGAAAUGCGCAGAUAUUAGGAAGAACACCGGUGGCGAAGGCGGCUCUCUGGAACGGUACUGACGCUGAGACGCGAAAGCGUGGGGAGCGAACAGG